CCCCGUAAACCUUUUUGUAUUUCCCCUCCCUCUCCUCAUCAGUGAUUUGGAUUUGGAAGUGCCUGAUGAAGGGAAUUGUUAAGAAAAUAUGUGGUGAAAUGCCUGUAGAAGAUUGCUCAGUGCGGCCCUUAUUUGCAUGUGCUAUAACUAGUUGCUUUGCUCCAAGGUUUCAGGUGGAGGUUUUUGUGGAUCAUAGCCAUGAUGAGAGCCCGAUUUUUGAGCUGUUAGAUUUGAAACAUAAGGUUGGAGAUGAUGGAAGUGCUGCCUGAUUUUUACGUGACGUUGCCCAUGAACAAGAUGCUGCAGAAACCAUGGCCAUAUCAAAAGGAAGACGAGCAAGGGAGGCACAGAAUGUUGUGCAGCCAUUUAAAUGAAAGCACCAGGACUGUAGGAGCUGGUCCAGCUGUACCAGCUGCACAAUCUGGAUGUCUGCCGGUAGCUGAGUUCUUCAAGCUCGCUGUCACCAACUUUAAUGUCCAUGACUGGAGUCUUUUUGGCUAAGGGGCUGGAAAAAAUAAAAGCAGAUAGGUAUGUGGGUUAUUUUAUGAACAAGAUGUUACCAUCUCUUCUACCCUGUGGCCUUUCUUCUAGAAAUGGGCUAAAUGUCUGUGCCUCAUGUGAAGCAUAUCUUGGUCGUAUUUUAGAACUGUUGAAAGCCUGAAGGUAUGUACAGAAUUGCAAUUUAUUCUAAAUAGGGCCAUGUUUUCAGUAGUGCACAGUGUCUAAUGCAUAAUAUGAACGGCCAGAGGGUCCUAGCUGAAGUUCAUCUGGUGCUUAUGAAUUUUCCUAGAUGCAUGUCUAUAAUAAGGAGAGAGUAUUUCACCAAAGGGAGGAGAUAUUCUUCCAAUCUGGUAUUGCAGGCCAGCUGUAACAGGUUACCUGCUAACAAUUGGGCCAUAAUCUCCAUGUAAAUUGAUUUUGUACUACCACAUUCAUUCAUCAAUGUUUUGCUUCAUAUAUUAAUUAUCAGUUAUUACAUUGUCUUACCAGACACUGUCAGUGAACUAUGAUAACUUGUUUGAAAUUUUACAUUUAACUAGUAGACAUUACUGCUCUUUGCUGCACCAAUUGCUGCUUUUUUUCCCCAUCACAUUCAUUUGUAGUUUAAACGUUAGGACAUGUACUACAUGACAGUAAAGAGGAAAUUUGCUAUGGGAAUCUUUAGCUAAAUCCAUGGAAUGAAAACCCAAUUCUAACAGCUGGAAAGAUGAAUUGUUGCAGUGGAGGAGUUGGGGAAAAGCAGGAUAUUUUUCUUCUGACAUCAAAAUUCCGCAGGGUACUUGGUUCAGUUCAUUUCAAUUUCCUUCAAUUAGUUGUUGAUGAAUUCCAAAACUUGGUUGACUUCAAUUGACUCACAAAUGCUGCAUCAUCUGGUACAUCACUUCAACUGAUGGGUAUAGUUGCAGAUGAAAACUAAUUCACCCAGGUAGAUAAGAACAGUGCCCGAAUGUCAUGAUGAGGCUACAAAUCUUUCCACUGGUUUUGAACUGCAGCUCUCAAUUAGAGAGAUGGUUUGGUAUGCCAUAUCGUCAGCUUUGUUGCUGUUGUUUUUGCUGUCACUGCUGUCUAUUAUUAGUGCUGUUGCUGCUUCUGUCAUUAUUGUAUUUGCUAAUGACAUCAAAGUUACCGUGCUGGGCCCAGAUGAAGAGCUCUAUUCCUGAUAGGGUCGAAAGUGGUAGGCCCUAUCUAUUGUCAGUUGCGAGCUUUCAUGGGCCUCGCACCCGAUCUAUUUGAGUUGUGGGUUCCAUUGCUUCUUCUGAGCUGGUUCCAAUCAUAUAUGUUUAAAGAU